AACGAGACCUUAACCUGCUAAAUAGCCAGGCCGGCUCUCGCUGGUCGCCGGCUUCUUAGAGGGACUGUCAGCGUCUAGCUGACGGAAGUUUGAGGCAAUAACAGGUCUGUGAUGCCCUUAGAU
rnacentral:rRNA from 1 species